rnacentral:lncRNA from 1 species
GCCAGCCACCACUUCCCAAAAGACCAACUCCCAUACAUGCAUGCAUUCAUGCAUGUUCUUUCCACAUGGAAUCUCGAUCCCAUGUAGGAUGCCUUGUUUCGGAAUGCCUUGCAUGAUGCUCAAGGGAUUGACACCUGUCAGAGUUUAGUUGGAACUUCGGAUGGGGAAGUGAGAUGAAUCCCGAUUUCUACUGUAGACUAGGGUACGAUAACUGUGGAAUCAAGU